UUUAGCUUCAACAAUUGAUUCCCACAACAUCCUUAAAUAGUAACUAAAGCAUAAGGAUACCAGAUAUAAUAAUAGACAUGAAUGCAUUUAAAAUAAUUAUAUGCAGCGGAAUAAAAAUAUAUUACAAUCCCUUAUAAAAUAAAAUUUGAGUUCCAAAUCUUAUAAUAUUGAGGCGAAAUAAAAGAAAAUACAAGCUUCUUCAAAAGUUAGAUUCAUUAGAGUGUAAAACAAAAUAUGCACUCGUAAUGGUUAGAUAAUCCACGGGAUCCUCAUAACCUUCAAUUGAUGAGUCAACAAGCGGUUCCUCAUUAUCGUCCUCAUCUAGGAAGGCAUUCAAAAUAGUGAGUUCCAUAUAUUCAGUAAAAAAAAAUAGUAUUUAAGUGACAUUACUAAGAUUUUAAAAGUAAUUAACUUAAAAAUAAUACCUUAUCCGCUUACCAUCGGGGAAUGUGCACGUGCAAUUAUUUCAAUAAUAAAGAAAAUAUUUUAUUUUAUUUAGAAAAAUAUCAACAUCAAGUCAAUCACAUCAAACAUAUAAUCAUGUUAUGUAUAUAAUAGAGAAAAUCAAAUAAAUCAUAUCAUAUCAUGUUUUCUUUUUACUUAUUCUUGGCACGAAGCCGUUCCGACCUCUAUUUACUGAGGGCAGUACAAAUUCUCGACUAUCAUUGUAUAAUGACAAAUUCAUUUCAUAUCAUUUUCAGUAUAUUUAUGGCUUGUUAAACUACAAUAUAUUUACGACUUACCAAAACAUGACACGUACUAUGACCACGGCCGUGCCAACCAUAGUGGUCCUACAUGUAAACUAUACUCACAGUCAUAUGUCGCCAAAUGUCAUUCUUACAAUCAUAUCGUGUCACCACUCUCAUCAGAGCGCACGCCAUCAUCCACAAAGAGUGGUCAUCUCACGUCUUUUCAUUCUAGAUAGGGAAAAAACAGAACUCCUCAGAGAUAAAAAACUUAAUGGAUCAUGUUAAUUUAGAUACCAUGCAUGCAAACACCAAUAUUCAUUCCAGAACAGAAAAGACUAAUGAUCAUGAGCAUACUUUACCACUGUGGCCCCUACAGUCAAUCACGAAUCCACUCUCAUUAGAGGGAAUGCCAUUACUAUUCACGAGGAGUGGUUCAUCGACAGAUCCAAAUAUAGAUAGAAAUACAGAAACAAAAGACCCCCAUGAUAAUGGUCAAACAGAUUUUCAAUUUUUUCCUCUUUUUUUACUGAUUUUGAUUCACAAAUAAUCAUGAAUUUGGAACUCGACGGGGGUCCAAUCAACAUAUCUUGGCCUAAAGAGGCCUUUACACUUAUAUUUCGCCAUCGGUUCAUCUUCUCCACUAUCACCUAAGGGUAAAGUAGAGCACCAAAUUCGCACAUGCAUCAUCUAUCAUCGAAGUUCGAUUAAACAUGUAUUUUCAUUUUUAAAAAAACAUACAAACAUAUAUAUCCACUCGUAUCAUAUAGUUGAUAAAAAAUGUUUAAUUUCAUGCAUCAAGACAAAUCAAAAGUCAUACAUCAAUUAUCUGAAAUUUGUUUAGAAGUGUACGAGAAAAAACUAAAAACUCUGUAACGGCCCCAGAAAUAUUAGAAAGAAAUGAGUAUUUAAAUAUAUCAAAUGCGGAAGCGAGAUCAAAAUUUCAGUUAACAUCCCUUACACGAAAGACCAGAAACGUACUUAAAAUAUAAAAGGUUAAACUAACUAAGAAAGAAAACUCGAAAAUAAACUAUGCGUAUGACUACAGAGUCUCUAGGCAUCUCCUUCGUCGUCCUCCUGCGGAACGGGCUCGGGAACCAUGUCUUCCUGAUCUGAAAUGGUUAAUUAAGGAGUGAGCUACACUAGCCCAGUAAGAACAUCACGAUAUCUCACCGUCACGGAGAUAAAGGUGGGUAGAAAAACACAAAAAGACCAAUGGAGCAUAAUUU
rnacentral:lncRNA from 1 species